GACGAACGCUGGCGGCGUGCUUAACACAUGCAAGUCGAACGGUGAAGCGCCUUCCUUUUUGGUGGGUGUGGAUGAGUGGCGAACGGGUGAGUAACACGUGAGUAACCUGCCCCCUUCUUCUGGAUAACCGCAUGAAAGUGUGGCUAAUACGGGAUAUUCUGGGUCUGUCGCUUGAUGGGUCUGGGAAAGAUUUUGUUUCGGUGGGGGAUGGGCUCGCGGCCUAUCAGUUUGUUGGUGGGGUGAUGGCCUACCAAGGCGGUGACGGGUAGCCGGCCUGGGAGGGUGGACGAUAACACUGGGAAGGAGACACGGAGAAGACUACGAGGGGAGGCAGCAGGGGGGAAUAGUGAACAAGGGGAGAAAGGAUGAUGCAGAGACGCGGCGGGAGGGAUGGAGGCCUUCGGGUUGUGAACCUCUUUCGCGAGAGAAGAAGGGAUGACUCGUUUGUGGGUGGGUUGACGGUAGCUGGAUAAGAAGCGCCGGCUAACUACGUG
rnacentral:rRNA from 1 species